CGGCGAUUCAGUCAAGCUCCAGCAUCCGUUCAAGCAGGGAGCACAUUGCACGCGUUUCGUUCCCAUCGAGAGAGAGACACACACACAUAUGUAUACUUAGCGCGUCGACUGACUCUGUGUGUGUCUGUGUUUUCCCCUUUAAUUGUACGUCUUCAUACGCGCGCGUGUCUCUGUGUGUGUGUGUGUGUACGUGCGUGCGUGUGCGUGCGAAGCGUGGCGUGAGUGUUCAUUGGUGUGUGUAAAUUUUUGGGCAAAAGCGAAAGAAAGCAAACAGAAACACAGAGCCCCAGUGACAGGUUCAGGUUACGCGAACGCCUUGCGAACCGGUUAAACUUAAAGUUAUUCCUGCAAACUCCUUUUCGAGCUGCCGUAGGACAUCGCAAAACUUUACGCUUAACUCGCGUAAACAAAAUUAAACGUGCAAAGAAUUUCGGUCAAAGUAACGUAACGUCGAAAGAAUAAAGCUUAAACUCAACACUUGCUACACAAAAAUGUCUACAGUAGCAAGCAGCAACAGAAAAUCAACGAAAUUGUCGUCACUCUAAUCAAGUGGAAAUUUGAUUAAAGAAGAGAAAAGCGAAUUUAAUAAAUUUGAAAAACUCAAUAGCCGAAAAACGAACGGCAGGAAAGAGAGAAAGAAAAGCUGCUGCUCUACACAAAAAAACGAAAACGAAGAAGAAAAAUUAAGUGCGAGUAUAUCAAAAGGUAACAGCAAAGGAAAUCAACACGCACGCACAUGAGCGAACCUGUUGUAUGUUGUAGUUGCUGCUGCUUUUGCAACGAAAACGUAGCAAACAUUAAAAGUCAGCGAAGUGUGAAACUCCAAAACGAGAGGAGAAAAGCGAAAAAGGUUUGCCAAAACGAAUACAAAACAAGACAGAGCUGAACAUAAACCAAUAAUAAUACUCCGACGCAUUAUAUAAAAGGAGUAACGAAGUGAAUAAAAUGCUUAAAACCCCGAAAUAGAAACCACAAAACGAAGUAACUAAAAUUACACUCUACGAUUAUUAUUUAGUACAAAAACUAAAGCAACAACUGAUUGCAGCUGACGAGAACUUGCCACACGGGGCAAGGACAUUCCAUACAUACUUCUGGGUGCUGUGCUUGCUUCGACCAAAGCACGAAAUUAAGUGCAGAUUAUCAGAAGAUUAUAUUUUAAUAGCAUUUCAAGCUGUUGCCUUUCACGGCGAACACAAUCCACAGAAGAAGGACAGCGACAGGACUUCAACACGGCAAACGGAAACGGACACCGAAAAAAAAAAAUAACUGAAAGGGAGACUACAAUAGCGCAACAAAAAUACAUUAUAACCAUGUGCUAGUGUCCAAGUGUGUGUGUGUGUGUGAGUGAGUUUCCACAAGUGCGGCUUAUUACACAGGCCUCCGACCAUUCGAGGAAUUUUUUGUUGGCCAGCAACUAAAGCGAAACAUAAACGCGUUUAGAAAUUAAAAUAAAGCAAGCAAACGUUGUGUGUGCUGUGUGUUGUGCUGUGUAUCUUAGGCAAGUGUUGUAACUGUGUGUGCUUGUGUAAAAGCAUAAUAUAUAAUUAAAACAUUAAGCAUACGUCGUGUGGCCGAAAGAGGAGAAAAGGCAACAGUUUUUGCCUGGACUGAACUGAACCAACUUGAUCUGUGAGCUGAGUUGAGCUGAAGAACUGGAGCGUGAGCGUGGCUCCCAAACUGAAUACUUAACAGCUCGUGCAUUUGGCUACUUUCUUGAACGGCGAAGGUUGUUAGACAAACGAAGACAGGUGGCACGGAAGCGACAAGUUAUUAGGACAAAAGCAGCAACCAAACGAGAAAAGCCGACUCUAUUAACAGAGCAAAGAGGCAACACCAAAAACAACACGAAAACAAAAAAAGCAAAGAGGAAUAGGGAAAUGCUAAAGCGAGUAACUCAAGUGGGAGGCAAAUCGAAUCGUUAAGCGGCUGCCAAUGAGACGGCAGCAAGGAGCUGUAACUGGCACUUGACUGGGCCACAACAAACACACACAGAUCCACACACAACU